ACAAUGGAGAGUUUGAUCCUGGCUCAGGAUGAACGCUAGCGGCAGGCUUAACACAUGCAAGUCGAGGGGCAGCAUAUAAAUUGCUUGCAAUUUAUGAUGGCGACCGGCGCACGGGUGCGUAACGCGUAUGCAACCU
rnacentral:rRNA from 1 species